rnacentral:hammerhead_ribozyme from 1 species
ACUCAAGUGACGAGUCCCACAUAGGACGAAACACGUGUCCCGGAU